rnacentral:rRNA from 1 species
UACGUAGGGUGCGAGCGUUGUCCGGAAUUAUUGGGCGUAAAGAGCUUGUAGGCGGUUUGUCGCGUCUGCUGUGAAAUCUCAAGGCUCAACCUUGAGCUUGCAGUGGGUACGGGCAGACUAGAGUGUGGUAGGGGAGACUGGAAUUCCUGGUGUAGCGGUGAAAUGCGCAGAUAUCAGGAGGAACACCGAUGGCGAAGGCAGGUCUCUGGGCCACUACUGACGCUGAGAAGCGAAAGUGUGGGGAGCGAACAGG